UACGUAGGGAGCGAGCGUUGUCCGGAAUCAUUGGGCGUAAAGCGCGCGUAGGCGGCCCGAUAAGUCCGCUGUAAAAGUCAACGGCUCAACUGUUGAAAGCCGGUGGAUACUGUUGGGCUAGAGUACGGAAGAGGCAAGUGGAAUUCCUGGUGUAGCAGUGAAAUGCGUAGAUAUCAGGAGGAAUACCGAUGGCGAAGGCAGGUCUCUGGGCUGAUACUGACGCUCAUGCACGAAAGCGUGGGGAGCAAACAGG
rnacentral:rRNA from 1 species